AUUGAACGCUGGAGGCAGGCUUAACACAUGCAAGUCGAACGAGUGGAGGACGGGUGAGUAAUGCUUGGGAAUCUAGCUUAUGGAGGGGGAUAACUACGGGAAACUGUAGCUAAUAACGCGUACCAUAGGAUGAGCCCAAGUGGGAUUAGGUAGUUGGUGAGGUAAAGGCUAACAAAGCCGACGAUUUCUAGCUGGUCUGAGAGGAGGACCAGCCACACUGGGACUGAGACACGGCCCAGACUCUGACGGUAGGAAGCAGUGGGGAAUAUUGCGCAAUGGGCGCAACUUGACGCAGCCAUGCCGCGUGAAUGAAGAAGGCCUUCGGGUUGUAAAGUUCUUUCGGUAGCGAGGCGUUAUCUACAGAAGAAGCACCGGCUAACUCCGUGCCAGCAGCCGCGGUAAUAC
rnacentral:rRNA from 1 species